GACGAACCGUGCGAACGUUAUUCGGAAUCACUGGGCUUAAAGGGUGCGUAGGCGGGCUAUCAAGUCUGGGGUGAAAUCCCGCGGCUCAACCGUGGAACUGCCUCAGAUACUGCCGGCCUCGAGGGAGAUAGGGGCAUGCGGAACUGUAGGUGGAGCGGUGAAAUGCGUUGAUAUCUACAGGAACUCCGGUGGCGAAAGCGGCGUGCUGGAUCUCUUCUGACGCUGAGGCUCGAAAGCUAGGGGAGCAAACGGG
rnacentral:rRNA from 1 species